rnacentral:rRNA from 1 species
CAGUCGCCGCGGUAAAACGGAGGGUGCAAGCGUUAAUCGGAAUUACUGGGCGUAAAGCGCACGCAGGCGGUCUGACAAGUCAGAUGUGAAAUCCCCGGGCUUAACCUGGGAACUGCAUUUGAAACUGUCAGGCUGGAGUCUUGUAGAGGGGGGUGGAAUUCCAGGUGUAGCGGUGAAAUGCGUAGAGAUCUGGAGGAAUACCGGUGGCGAAGGCGGCCCCCUGGACAAAGACUGACGCUCAGGUGCGAAAGCGUGGGGAGCAAACAGGAUUAGAUACCCGCGUAGUCCCUGUCUCUUAUAC